GUAUAGUCAAGAUACACAUAACAAUGCAUUUCCUUCGGAGAAGAUUAAAUCAGGUGGAAAUAGGACGGCAGUAGCCGGGAAUAAGAAAUGCAGGUAGCCACAUGAUAUCUCUCUGAAGAUGCAUGCCAGCUUCCUGGUAGCAUCAUCUUUUUGUAGCAUAUAAUAAAUCUUGAAUUUCAGGUAACCAAACGGCCAAACCUGCUUGCAUCAGCCACCCUGAAACCGCAUACAUCAUUCAGUUUCAGUACACCACUACUCCGUAUAAGCCAAGGAAAGAAAGAAAAAUGAACGCCACGCCCGAGGUCUUGACACUGCAUGUGCUGAAUGC
rnacentral:lncRNA from 1 species